UCAACCAUCAAGCCCGGCUUGUUAUUGGGUCCUCGUAUCGUUAAAAGCGAUAGGCCCGAAAGAUAAUGGCGGUGUCAGGAUUGACCCCAGGUGCAGCGAGCUUAUAGCAUACACUGAAAGGUUGUCUUGGCCUGGCCUAGUUAAAAACAUUUUUUCUAA
rnacentral:misc_RNA from 1 species